rnacentral:rRNA from 14 species
GGCGGAUACCUAGGCACCUAGAGACGAUGAAAGGCGCAGUACCCGGCGAUACGCCUUGGGGAGCCGGACACAGGCCAUGAUCCAAGGAUUCCUGAAUGGGACAACCCAAGUACUUCUCAUUGAAUUCAUAGAUGAGAAAGAGAUAACCUAGUGAAUUGAAACAUCUUAGUAGCUAGAGGAAAAGAGAGCAAACGCGAUUUCCUGAGUAGCGGCGAGCGAAACGGAACGAGCCUUU